rnacentral:lncRNA from 1 species
AGAGAAGUCUCCAAGCCACAUGCCUCUCCCCCACCUCCUCAGCCGGCUGGGCUGCUGCCAGAUCUGCAGAAGCAAACUGCCAGGAAAACAAAACAAAACAAAAACAAUAAAACCUCCUUUGCUUUGAACUUGUGGAAGAAACUGAGUCAGGCCAUUAGAUCUGGCAGUUUGAACACCGUCUCCAAGGCAUGAUCAGGCCGGGCGGAAGUGCGGCAUUCACCUCAUCUUUAAAAAAGCCAACCUGAAUAAAGGACCAUCUAGUGUGUUUGCUUAUUAUGGGGGGCAGUAGAACCAAAGAGCCUCAGCCCCGAUGAACUACUCAAUUUGAUGAGGACACAGACAGUGACAAUUGGAGGUGAUCUUGGAAAGCCCAGAACCCAAGGCCUCCUGUGGG